UUCAUGGCUCUGAGAACAGCUCUGUUCGGUGCCUGGCAAACUGAUUAACAUGGCAACGUUAAUGUAUAUCUAGUGUUUCUUUGCAAGUUAAUAGAGCAGCUAUGCAUAAUUCUUCUGUGUAUCGAGGAAGACCUUCAUGUUAUGCUACCAGAUAUGUAGAAUGCAAGUUUUCCCUGCCUCACCAAUAUGUCAUUCGUGCUUCAGGCUGAACAGAUCCAGCUCUCUCAGCCUGUCCCCAUAGGGAAGGCAUUCCACCUUUGGAUCAUUUCUGUGGCCCUCCUUUGGAUGUGUUCCAACAGGCCCACAUCUCUCCUGUACUGAGGACUCCACAUCUGGAUGCAGAACUCCAGGUGGCAGCAGAGGGGCAGUCUGACAGAAUGGCGUCUGACAUGGAAGUGCCUAUGAAGCAAAGGUGUGUAACUGAGUUUCUCCAUGCAGAAAAAAUAGCACCCACCUCCAUUCAUCAAUGAUUGCUGAACAACUAUGGAGACCAAGCAUUGGAUGGGAGCACAGUGAGUAGCAAUCCAAGAAGCAUUCACUGUGGCCUGCUGACUUAAAGCAUAUCAGAACUCCUACCAUUCACCCCAAGGAUUUUGUCUUUAAUGGAUGUAGAGGAUGAAAGUGAUUGCAAAUCUACAUUAAGCCAAGAGGUGUCGUUGAUUGCAUGGAAAUUUUGGUAUCAGAAAAAUUUCAGUCAUCUCAACUUACUCAUGAUGCUUGUCUCCAAAUGCGCUGUGCUCACAGAUUCAUCAAACCCUCAACAAUCUACAGCCACAUCCUUGUGUUAUGAAUCAGAACAGAAGUUGUAGAAAAAAAAAAGCUCACAGUAUUUGCCAUUAUUGAAUAUAAUCACAAGCAAAAUGGUAUCAAAUUUGCUGAGCAGUGAAAAAAAGAAAAAGAGAAGCCUUUGGCUGUAGUUAUUAGUUGAGGACAAAGCACCUAUUACAGUGGGAAUAGAAGAUAUCUGAUUUUCUUUGAAAUUGGGAAGGCAAUGGAAGGUGGAACCUCAGCCACCAAUGAUAUGCAGACUAUUUUGAGAGUGCACCUAAGCUGACUGACUUCCUUCAAUUGCCAACUGCAGCCUGUUCUUAAGUUGGCAUCUCCCCAGCAUGAUCUCACUGAAUAUCACAGCUCACAGGGAAUCAAAAUCCUCCGCAGGGCUGCGCAGUGUUGUGCUUUGCUCAUCCCAGUUCUGAAGGAAAGAAACACUUUUACGUAUUAUUGAUUUCUUAACUUCUUAUCAGUUUUAUUGACUGUUUUUGUUUUGUUUUGUUUUGUUUUGUCCCCCGAUGUCAAGACAUGUUACUCUUUCUAGGGUUUACUCAGUAGAAACUGCAGCAAGCCCCAUCACUGAUUGGAAACCCACCCUCUGAAUGGCACAUUCUAUUGCGCAGGUUGUGGUAAACUAAUUAAAGGAGUCCAUCAUUGAUAAUCUAAGAAUUGAAGUAAUUAACUUACAAUCAUGGUCUGUCUUAGAAUUCCUAGAAGAGCUACUAGAGUUUUUUUUAUUUGUGAUUUUUUUCUUUUUUUUGUAAAUUUUGUUCCCCUGUGGUUAUUCCAUUCAUUAGAAAGAAGUAAGGGAAGAAGGAAUGGACUGUGUGAGUUAAUUGUUGACUCAUCACUGAUCUCCCUGCUUUUCUUUUUUUCACUGAAGUUGAAAGAUUGGACGAAGUCCUAAAACAAGAGCAGAGUUCUCUUUCCAUCAUAUGUAAGAUGUAAAUUAAAUUUAUAAAUGUUGGACCAUACAAGGAAAUCAUUUUUGAUAGUUCAUGAACGUUCAAAACACUUUUGAAGUAUUAGCAUUGCGUGAUUUACCUGGAGAGUGAACUAAAUAUAGAAAUUCUGUUUUUGGUUUCUGAAAAGUAGUGUUAAUUUUUUUAACACUUCAUCUCUCAUUUUUCUUUUUUUUAUUGCCACAUUUUCUCUGGUGAUCAUUAGAGAAAAAAAAAAAAAAGGCAAAAGAAAAGAAUUUUGUCUGAAUGCCUGACUGAAGAAAAUCCAAGAACUUAAAAAAAGAAUUUAAAGAUUCUAUUUAGCAAAAUUAAAAUAAAUAAAUAAAUUCAAAUUCCAAGAUGUUUCUGAAUGGCCAGCUUAAGCUCGGAUUAUUAGUGUCUUGUGUUAUGGGGAGGGAGAGCCUCAGACUCACUUUGUUUCUGGAGUGCAGCAUUUUGAAUGUGUUAUUGAAAUUAUUAAAAAAAAAAAACUGCAAAACUGUAGUGAGAGACAUCAGAGAAUACUACAUGCUUGCUUAAUGGUGGCUUGAAACCACACAGCAUUACAAAAACUUACAAUAAAUAUGAAACAGAUGCAAAGAACUCAAGUGUAAGAAAUGUUACAGUUUUUGCAAUUGGACAGCCUCUAAUCCACAAAAGCACUGUGACUACUAGCUCCUUUUGAUUUUAAAAAAGAUCUCUAAAUAUCUUUGCUUGUCUCGAUUAAGUGCUUACACUUCCAUUUAUAUCAAUGAGAUCUUAAGAGUCGAUUUUAAAACAUCAAUAAUUUUUAUAAAUCCAGUGAAGGUUGAAGGCAUAAUUGUUCUUAAUUUUUAUUGAUAAAUGGAAAAGUUGAAUUAAAAAUACACCUUUUUUUUUCUGCUUAAAUUGCAUAAGAUUCAGAUUUUGUCUUUACAUCUUGGAUUCUAGUGGUGAAUCUUGGAUCUUGGAUACAUUGGUGGUGAAUGGAGUUAAAUCCAACUGGCGAAUGGUCACAAGUGGUGUUCUCCAGGGAUCGAUAUUGGGGCCCAUCCUGUUUAAUAUCUUUAUUGAUUAUUUGGAUGAGAUGACAGGCUGGAUCAAUGGGCUGAGGCCAAGUUCAACGAUACCAAGUAUUGGGCUCUGCACCUGUGUCAUGACAACUCCAUACAGUGCUACAGGCCUGGGACAGAGUGGCUGAAAAACCAGGUGGAGGAAAAGGACUUGAAGGUGUUAGUUGACACUCAGCUGAAUAUGUGCCAGCAGAGUGCCCAGAUGGCAUCCUGGCUUGUAUCAGAAAUAGUGCAGACAGCAGGAGCAGGGAGGUGAUUGUCCCACUUUACCAAACUCUGGUGAGGCUGCACCUUUUUACUGUUCUCAGUUUUGGGUCCCUCACUACAAGAAAGAAAAUUGAGAUUCUGAAGCAUGUCCAGAAAAGGGCAACAAAGCUGAAGUGACAGAUUUCAGUGUGUUUUCCAUGGUAUGUCCAUUAAUACUUUCUCCUUUUCUCUACAUCUCAUGUUAAGAACAGAAUUUACCUAAAUGUUGAAUUCUGCGUUUGUCCAUGGAAAGAUUCUUCUUUUCUAAACUCUCAUUAUAAGAGGAUACCUCCCUAAAAAGAUGCUCAUUGGCUUGCCAUUACUAUGUUCUGGCUCUCAUAGAAAUGCCUUCUUUCCAAGGAGCCACAAGCAUGUCACUGCAAGAUAUUGCAGCAUGAAACUGAAGUCCAGGCUGUUCUUCAGCAGUGUAAGUGAAAAUGGAAAAGAAAUUUUACAUCAUCAAAGUAUUCUUUAGAAGUAAAGAAGGAUUCAUUAGCUACUCAAAUGACCAGCCAUAGCCAAGGAAAGGCAUUUUAAUGGUUAGGGCAUUAAUCUAGGGAUCUGUUUUCCACUCCACCACAGACAUCCCUUGUAACCUGAGAAAAAACAUUUUGUCUCUCUGCAUCUCAGUUCUACAUCUAUCAGUGGUUUUCUAGGCAUUUCCUGACCUCAUGUGGGUUAUAUCAAGAUAAAUAUAUUAAGCUACUGAGACAUCACCAAGAUCGUCUCUAGCCUACAGUUCUUCUCUUACAAGUAGCUGCAACUAAGAAAGUGAUGCUAGUGGAAGGAUACCGUUACAGCCAAAUGAGAAGGAAGAGCUGCAAAGAAAUACACAUCUUGUACGUCUUUUUUUUUCUUUCUUUUCCCCCUGCAUUUAACCUAUUUUCAGUAAUUAAUUUACUGAUUGUUUGGAAGGGAAGCUCAACACAGACUGUAAAAGCUUGCAGUGAUUAAAAUCAGGCUCUCCAGCAGCUUUUGGAAGGUUUGUCUCUUCUGAAUUGUAACAGUUAUUGGAACAAUUCCACUGUGAGAUAGUUCUCAAGUUACAUGAUAACUUUUUGAUAUUCUCUUAAUUGAUGACAGAAAUAAUACAUAUGGAAUGACAGUGAUCAGAGUUUUUAUGUUAAUAGUGUAUCCACCAUGGUAUCAGUGACUCUCCUUAAGUUUUACGUAAGUCUUUCUUGCUUCCUGGCAUGGAAGACAGUGGUUUUAAUAUGACCUGGUAUGUUCCAAGAGAUUGUGUCAGUACAGGAGUUAUCUGCUACUUUGUGCUUGAGUGCUUACCAGAAGAGCAUAUGCCACUGAGCACUCAAAGACAUAGGAUGGCAUUCUUGGACAGACCUUGUUGAAAUUGUUACUUCAAAACACUGAGGGAAGAAAAAAAAAGAUCAGGAAGAGGAAAAAGUUGACAAAAGAGAAAAACAGAAAGCUGAUGUAUCCUGUAGAGAAAGCACUAGGCAUCUUGUGUAAUGCUGCUUCUUACUCAGAAAGAGGGAGAAACAGGAAUAUCAUAAGAAAUAAACAUCACGAGAGACCUAGACUCCUUGUGCCCAAAACUGUGGUGUGCUGUUGGUUUGUGGAAUCUCUUGUGUUCCUCAUUUCAGACCUUCUAAUGUAAGGAAAUACUAUUUAUUCUUUGUGUGGAACAAAAUUGCAGAGUACUCUGAGAAAACUCAGAAUACUGGAUACUCAAUUAAUUUUGCCUGUGUUUCAGGGGUAUUUAAAGUUGGCCAGGACGUCCAAACUUGUGGUGUACAUUGUGCAAAAGUUCACCACGAUAAGAUUAACAUGAUUUAAAAGGCUAGCUCUUCACCCAUUCUGUCCUGGUAGGCAAAGAACUGUAUGAACGCGGUGGCUGAGCUUUGCAGCCUGCUCCUGGAGCCGAAAGCAGAUCUGAGAGUGAGAUACUCAGUUCUCCAAAUAUCAGUCCAAAUAUCCAACACACAGCUUAUGUGUAGUUGCCACAUCACAGGGGACCUGACUGAAGUACAGAGGAAAGUGCAAAGUGAUCCACAGGUUGUAGAAGCAAUCUAUCCAUCCCACAGACCCCGCUUCACCAUUGUGCUGGUCACAAAGCUAGAUAUUCUGUGUUUAUUAUGGAGAACUAGGCACUGGUACAAUAUUGGAUGUCUAGCCAAUGCCAAAAAAAUAAUGAAUUAAAUAAAAGACAGACUAAACAGAGCAGAAUAUAUAACCUCAGUAGGCCAUUCCACAGAGCCCUGGCAAAUAGCCUUAGACAGUGUUAACCAAUUAAAUUUGCUUUCACCAUUCUCUGGAGGAUCUAAGUGUUUAAAGUUAUAGACACUUUUCAGAGGCUUGUAAAUAAAUUAAGAGAUAUGUAAAUCUUUGGAAAAGAAAAUGUGGAUGAAAUCACUCUUUAUACUGAUAUCAAACAGCUUACCCAUGCGAAAGCUGUGAUCCAUAAGAACCAGAAAGCUGGUUUUAAAAGUAAAGUAUUCUCAGUGUGAUUUCUUAUUCCUGAAAUAAUAUUGCAACGCAAGCAGGAAACAAUUAUAUGUUUCAUUGCACUCUAGAGGUGAAAGCAGGCUGACUUUGUCCCACACUCCAUUGCAAAAUAAACUUUGCCACACAUACUACUCCUGUCCCUCAGCUAAACAAAGAAGAAGAAGAAGAAAAAAAAAAAAGAGGAUAAGAGUAAGGGAACAUCCGUAUUUAUUUGACGAAUUUGAAUACUGAGAAUUUUAGACUAAACUUAGAGAAAGGUAGUAAGGCACCUUACCAUUCUACUAGCUGUGCUCUCUAGAUGUUUCAAAAAUAUCCCAGAGCAUAAAAUAUGACUGUGCUGAUUAAAUAAGUUUGGGCUAAAGAUGUUCUGAUGGAGAAAUAAAACAGAUUUUGCGUUGAGUAAAUAAGUAACUUCCUGACAGUGAAAUUGUACUAUAACUUUUCUACAGGUUUGACUACUAGAAAAUCCCCUUUUUUUCCACCAUGUCUGCACAGAAAAUUGAAUGGUAGAAAGCUAAACUCAUGAGAUUAAGUAUUCUACCAGGAUGAUAGAGAAAUGGUUCAUUUAAAACAGGGAAAAAAAGAAAAAAGAAAAAAAGAGUAACAAAUCCAGUGUUCUCAGUGGUGAUCCACGGGGAAUUAGACACUACAUCUUCAGACUCAGAAUUCACGAUUAAUUCCAAAAAGUUGGAAGGGAUGCUGUACAAAAAAAAUGCCACACUGAUAUGGACUGUGAGGUCCUGGGGCACUACUGACAUUAAAAAUGUUGUACAACAGCAUGCAUCUCUGAAUGAAGAUCAAAAUAAUGCUUGUGAUGGGUAGAUAGUUGAGGAGCCUGGGCUUUUGCACAAGGCUUGCUCUGAGUAAAGAGGUAUGAGGCCUGCGAAAAUGGUCAGUUGAUCAAGGGAGAAGGGCAGGAAAAUGAGCAGAAGAAAGACGAGUAGGGACAGAAUUAUAGCAUGUUCCACUUAAAAGCAGGCUUUCUUUUGGUUAAGGGGAACAGGCUAUUAACUGACACGGUUUAUAUGGAGUGUAUUUUGGAGAGCUUGUGUAAAGAACAUAAACUGCUUUAUUGUCUUAGAGCUUUCUUUAAAAAACCUAAUUCAUAGUAUUCCAAAUAGUUUUUCUUCAACAUACUCACAAAAUCUGUGUACAUUUAUUAUGUGUUUGAAUAUUCGUUUCACUUAUAUUGUAACUUUCUUUCAAAAAUGACUGAAAAAUUGUUGUCUAAUAUCACAGUGUUUUACAUACAGUAGCUCAGAGCUUUACAUACACAACACUUUAUUGAAGGUUCUGAUCAGCUUGGACUCUUACUUGCACAUCAAAUAAGAAUUAAGUUAGACUUAUGGAAUAAAGGAACGAUAGUAGAAUUGUAUGUGAAAUUGUUCUGGAAUCUCCUUGUCCAUUACAGAAUCCUUUAGCACGCUCCAGACAGAACUGAGCCAUUUAUCACUAUCAAGGUGUGGUUUGCACAUCCUACUUCAAGGAAACAUAAAUUUCAAGAAAAAAAAAAAAAGCUAAAAAUAGUUUUCUAACCCUAUUUUAUGUGCACUGGUGAUGUUUUAGUAUAUGAAAGUACUGUAACACUAGGUGAAGACUGUAGCUGAAAAGAAAAAAAAUGUAUUUCUUAAAAAUAAAACAAUAUUUUAAGAGAUUGACAGCUUAUGUCUCCUGGAAGUCAAGAAACAAUACUGGUGGCUGGAAAAGAUUCAAUUGCUGAUACUACUAUAAAGUAAAAAUAAAACUAAGGAGAAUAUUAAUAUUAUACGACAAUUCAUUCUGUGAAUAUCACUUGUUUCUUUACUUGAGGGAUAGUCCUUUUGUCACUGCUACAGAAUUCUUAGAAGCACUCUAAUUCAUGAAUAUCAUUAAUAAAAAUAACUUUAAAAAUUACAUUUCAUUAAAAGUGUGCAUUAGUCAGUGCAUUCUACAAAUGUGAAUGAAUUUGUCUCUUUGGACUGCUCAUUUACAGUAUUUUCCGAAUAUUCCAUACUCGAAAUGCAAUAACUAUUUGUAAUUGGCUGGAUAAGUCAAAUAGCAGUAUUUUUUCUUGUGGCUCAAUAAAUGUGCUGCUGUACAUACUGGUGCUUGUAAAUGUAAAAUUUUAUCACUAUGUGAAUAUUAGUGCAUGAUGUAUUGAUAUUCUCUUCCUGUAAGAAGCUGUGGCAACAGAACUGUUUCAUGAAUAUUUGCAGAAGGGGAACAGACAAAAGAGGCAGUAUGUUGGAGGUAAAUAAUUUGAACAUUUGUGGUAAUACUCACACUAAAUGUUUUGCAGGAUUUGUUCAGCCUUGCUUAAGAACAUCUUUCCUGUAAACGAAUGGAGAGCUUCUGUUAUACUCCUGUCCUUGCUUCUAGGGAGAAGUGCAGAAUCAUGCGGGCAAGUCUGACCCUAGCAAACUCAGCCAGCUCUCCAGGUGACAUUAGGCUGCAGGAAAAUGUCAAGAAUGGUAGCACAUAUGGAACGUAAGAGGUGGAACAGAAAGCCUUAGAGUUGCUGCAAAUAUAUUCCCUGAAAUAGUAAUUUCCUUCUCAAGAUGGCACAUUCUGCAAUCGCAUUACUUUGAAUAUUUGAUUUCUAUUCCCUUGAUGUUGACCUCACUUCCCACAGAUAUCUGUAGUCCACUCUUCCUGCAAUUUAUAACAGAAAUAGAGACCUAAAGCAAAAUCACAUACUUGUAAGUAAGCUUAGCUUUGGACAUUAUGUGCUAUUGCAACAGUCCCCCUGCAUCUAUGCUGUACUUGAAAUUCUCAAGUCUGAACACUUGUCAAGACCAUGAGAAAAUCCACUGAGUUAUCUGAAAUUUCCAACACUGAUCUUUGGAAAGCAUGUGGGCUUUUGUACCUGG
ensembl:lncRNA